rfam:Gynuella sunshinyii YC6258, complete genome.
GGAGCGGUAGUUCAGUUGGUUAGAAUACCGGCCUGUCACGCCGGGGGUCGCGGGUUCGAGUCCCGUCCGUUCCG